GGGCUCGUAGCUCAAUUGGUAGAGUGCCGCAUUCGCAUUGCGGAGGUUAGGGGUUCGAUUCCCCUCGAGUCCA
rnacentral:tRNA from 1 species